GACGAACGCUGGCGGCGUGCUUAACACAUGCAAGUCGAACGGUAAGGCCCUUCGGGGUACACGAGUGGCGAACGGGUGAGUAACACGUGGGUGAUCUGCCCUGCACUUCGGGAUAAGCCUGGGAAACUGGGUCUAAUACCGGAUAGGACCCUGGGAUGCAUGUCCUGGGGUGGAAAGCUUUUGCGGUGUGGGAUGGGCCCGCGGCCUAUCAGCUUGUUGGUGGGGAGAUGGCCUACCAAGGCGACGACGGGUAGCCUGCCUGAGAGGGUGACCGGCCACACUGGGACUGAGAUACGGCCCAGACUCCUACGAGAGGCAGCAGUGGGGAAUAUUGCACAAUGGGCGCAAGCCUGAUGCAGCGACGCCGCGUGGGGGAUGACGGCCUUCGGGUUGUAAACCUCUUUCAGCACCGACGAAGCGCAAGUGACGGUAGGUGCAGAAGAAGGACCGGCCAACUACGUGCCAGCCGCCGCCUGUAA
rnacentral:rRNA from 1 species